GACGAACGCUGGCGGCGUGCUUAACACAUGCAAGUCGAACGGAAAGGCCCUGCUUGUGUGGGGUGCUCGAGUGGCGAACGGGUGAGUAACACGUGAGUAACCUGCCCUUGACUUUGGGAUAACUUCAGGAAACUGGGGCUAAUACCGGAUAGGAGCUCCUGCUGCAUGGUGGGGGUUGGAAAGUUUCGGCGGUUGGGGAUGGACUCGCGGCUUAUCAGCUUGUUGGUGGGGUAGUGGCUUACCAAGGCUUUGACGGGUAGCCGGCCUGAGAGGGUGACCGGCCUCAUUGGGACUGAGAUACGGCCCAGACUCCUACGGGAGGCAGCAGUGGGGAAUAUUGCACAAUGGGCGGAAGCCUGAUGCAGCAACGCCGCGUGCGGGAUGACGGCCUUCGGGUUGUAAACCGCUUUCGCCUGUGACGAAGCGUGAGUGACGGUAAUGGGUAAAGAAGCACCGGCUAACUACGUG
rnacentral:rRNA from 1 species